CUUCGUGGUAUUUUGACUAUACAAAGGUAUUGUAAUAAGAUUUUAAUUGAAUGCUAAAAGAAUGGAAUUACAGGGAAAAGUUUUUUUAAAUUUAAUAAUAAAAGUUAUUUUAAUUUGUGAAGAAACAAUUAUGAAAAUUAAAGACAAGAAGACCCUAAGAAUUUAUGAAUUUUUAAUUAUGUAUAUGUAAAUUAUUUAUACAAAUAAAAUUCUUAGUUGGGGCAACUAAAAAAUAUAUAAAACUUUUUUUAUUUAAAAUG
rnacentral:rRNA from 1 species